CCCCGAGGGUUCGCGUGAGCGGAGCACGGGGCUCGGGGUGCGGGGGGCUGGUGUAAUGGACGCAUUUGUUCUUUGGUCCCUGACGAUUGUUUCUCAUUUGCCCUCCAAGCCCCAAAUCCUGUCAGUCCACGGCCUUGGUGGAGCGGCCCCGUGGGACGACCCUGUUGAUUGUGCUAGCGGAUGUUGCCUCCAUUCUGGAUCUGGGAAAAACUGUGGAGUGAAAGCCGGACCUGUUAGGGUUGGGACCUGAAAGCGGACUUUUUCGCUCUCAGACGGGCGCCAGGAAUUUCAUGUUUAACAGAUGUGUCUUCAAGGAGAUGAAACAAUUCAGAAUGGCCCAGACAACGGGGUAAUUCCUAAGAACCCACCACCGUGCCCUGAGGAAGCCCAAACAACCCAUGGAGACAUCCGCAUGGAGAGACC